rnacentral:rRNA from 1 species
CCCUAUGCACCUUUACUAUAAUUUUAUAUUUUAUAAAAAAGUAAAUCGUGUAAAAAUUAUUUAUUUGGAAUAUUUUAAUUUUUUAAUUAAAAUUUCUUUUUUUUAUUAUUCACAAUAAAAAGUGUGAACUUGAAUGUAUAAAUGGUAGUUUGGCUGGGGUGGCAACCUCCUAAAAAGUAACGGAUGUGUUUAAGGACAUUUAAAAUUAAAAUUUUUAUAAUGGUAUUAAUGUUUAAUUUUCAAAUUUUCAAAUUUGAAAAUAGUUGAAAGCUUAUCAUAGUGACCCGAUUAUUAUUUUUAGAAAAAAUUAUCGAUUAACGGAUAAAAGGUACGCUAGGGAUAACAGGCUAAUAAUUCUUGAGAGUCCCUAUUGACGGGGUUGUUUGGCACCUCGAUGUCGGCUCAUCACAUCCUGGUUGUGGAGGGGCAACCAAGGGUUCGUCUGUUCGCCGAUUAAAGUGGUACGUGAGCUGGGUUUAGAACGUCGUGAGACAGUUCGGUCCCUAUCUACUAUAAAUAUAAAUAAUAUGUUAAUUUGCGCGGUAGUACGAGAGGAUUCUGUUAAAUUAAGCUCUUAUGAAUUAAUUAUUCUUUAUAGUGUAUGUUAAUUAGUAACCUUAAUUUUUUUAUAACAGCUGAAAGUAUCUAAAGUUGGAAUUAAAUUAACAAGUGUUAUUUUAUAAAUUUUUUAAA